CUUUACUUUGCAAUUUACAUUGAAUUCCUGACAAAUCUCAGUUUGGCUAAUUUCACACUUUAUUGGCUAACUCUGAAAACACAUUUAAAGCAGGGUUAAGGCAGCACAUAAUACACAGCCCAGGGGGGGCAUCCAGUCUCCUACCAUUUUGACUGCUGGCCAGGUUAUUGUAUUCAGCGUAAUAUUUGGCAGACGGAUCCCAAGGAAAUCAUAUUCAUAUAACAGUCACUCAGGAACCUUUUCCAUUAUCCCUGCUUUGUGUAUUGUCUGUCAGGAAAUCAUAUUGCAAUAUUACCUUACAUUUACUACAUAGGGUCACCGAUAACAAAACCCAGUCAGAAUUAGAAACCACUACCGGUCCAUCAGGAGUUAUGUCUUCUUUUCCCGUUAUCUGAAAGAGGCGAGUGUCUAACCCCUCCAUUCUUUGUUUAUCGGUCUGUUUGUUCCUCCCGGAUUUUACGCCAACACCAUUGAAAUGGAAGAAAAAUGUUAGAGAAUAUUUCCCGCAUUGACUAUUGUGGCCUUAAAUUUGCAGUUCUGUUUCUCAUUACUCACAUUUCCCCAGUUUAAUGAAACAAU